UACGAAGGGGGCUAGCGUUGCUCGGAAUCACUGGGCGUAAAGCGCACGUAGGCGGAUCGUUUAGUCAGGGGUGAAAUCCUGGAGCUCAACUCCAGAACUGCCUUUGAUACUGGCGACCUUGAGUUCGGGAGAGGUGAGUGGAACUGCGAGUGUAGAGGUGAAAUUUGUAGAUAUUCGCAAGAACACCAGUGGCGAAGGCGGCUCACUGGCCCGAUACUGACGCUGAGGUGCGAAAGCGUGGGGAGCAAACAGG
rnacentral:rRNA from 1 species